UGCAAGUCGAGCGGAUUGAUGGGAGCUUGCUCCCUGAUAUCAGCGGCGGACGGGUGAGUAACACGUGGGCAACCUGCCUGUAAGACUGGGAUAACACCGGGAAACCGGUGCUAAUACCGGAUAAUCCUUUUCCUCUCAUGAGGAAAAGCUGAAAGUCGGUUUCGGCUGACACUUACAGAUGGGCCCGCGGCGCAUUAGCUAGUUGGUGAGGUAACGGCUCACCAAGGCGACGAUGCGUAGCCGACCUGAGAGGGUGAUCGGCCACACUGGGACUGAGACACGGCCCAGACUCCUACGGGAGGCAGCAGUAGGGAAUCUUCCACAAUGGACGAAAGUCUGAUGGAGCAACGCCGCGUGAGCGAUGAAGGCCUUUGGGUCGUAAAGCUCUGUUGUUAGGGAAGAACAAGUAUCGGAGUAACUGCCGGUACCUUGACGGUACCUAACCAGAAAGCCACGGCUAACUACGUGCCAGCAGCCGCGGUAAUACGUAGGUGGCAAACGUUGUCCGGAAUUAUUGGGCGUAAAGCGCGCGCAGGCGGUUCCUUAAGUCUGAUGUGAAAGCCCCCGGCUCAACCGGGGAGGAUCAUUGGAAACUGGGGAACUUGAGUGCAGAAGAGAAGAGCGGAAUUCCACGUGUAGCGGUGAUAUGCGUAGAGAUGUGGAGGAACACCAGUGGCGAAGGCGGCUCUUUGGUCUGUAACUGACGCUGAGGCGCG
rnacentral:rRNA from 1 species